rnacentral:rRNA from 1 species
UACGAAGGGGGCUAGCGUUGUUCGGAAUUACUGGGCGUAAAGCGCACGUAGGCGGCCUUGUACGUUGGGGGUGAAAUCCCGAGGCUCAACCUCGGAAUUGCCUUCAAGACUGCUUGGCUCGAGUUCGGGAGAGGUGAGUGGAAUUCGCAGUGAAGAGGUGAAAUUCGUAGAGAUUGGGAAGAACACCAGUGGCGACGGCUGCUCACUGGCCCGUAACUGACGCUGAGGUGCGAAAGCGUGGGGAGCAAACAGG